rnacentral:piRNA from 1 species
UUCCACGAAGAGAAAUUUAUG